rnacentral:rRNA from 1 species
CCUACGGGUGGCAGCAGUGAGGAAUAUUGGUCAAUGGACGAGAGUCUGAACCAGCCAAGUAGCGUGAAGGAUGACUGCCCUAUGGGUUGUAAACUUCUUUUAUAUGGGAAUAAAAUGUUCAACGUGUGGGAUUUUGUAUGUACCAUUUGAUUAAGAAUCGGCUAACUCCGUGCCAGUAGCCGCGGUAAUACGGAGGCUGCGAGCGUUAUCCGGUUUUAUUGUGUUUAAAGGGUGCGUAGGCGGUAUUUUAAGUUAGUGGUAAAAGGUCGUGGCUUAACCAUAAUUUGCUAUUAAAACUGGAGUACUAGAGUGCAGACGAGGUGGGUGGAAUUAGUUAAGUAGCGGUGAAAUGCUUAGAUAUAACUUAGAACCCCGAUAGCGAAGGCAGCUUACCGGACUGUUACUGACGCUGAAGCACGAGAGCGUGGGUAGCGAACAGGAUUAGAUACCCCAGUAGUC